GGCGAGGUGGCGGCCGUCGCCGCCGCGGAGGAGGAGGAGCAGGGGCAGGAAGGCGAGCGGGAGCACGAGGACGAGCAGCGGGUGGUUGGAGCCGCCGCCGGGGUGGAAGUGGUGGGGCGGAGGCUUGGGGUGCGCCUGUGCCUUCUUGUCGUCGGGCUCCGGGUCCUCGACAACCACGGCCUGGAACGAGGAGCAGUUGCGCACCGUUGGCGAGCGCAGCAGCGAGGACGGCGUCCGCGUCAGCUUGCCGGCUCCCGUUCCGCCGCCGUGGACGUCCAUCCCUCGUCGACGCCGCUCUCCGGCUCCUCGAUCUCUGGCGGAUCUCCGUCUCAAAUCACUAGAGCAGACGCGCGGAGCA
rnacentral:misc_RNA from 1 species